rnacentral:rRNA from 1 species
CAGUAGCCACGGUAAUACGUAGGGUGCAAGCGUUAAUCGGAAUUACUGGGCGUAAAGCGUGCGCAGGCGGUUAUAUAAGACAGAUGUGAAAUCCCCGGGCUCAACCUGGGAACUGCAUUUGUGACUGUAUAGCUAGAGUACGGCAGAGGGGGAUGAAAUUCCGCGUGUAGCAGUGAAAUGCGUAGAUAUGCGGAGGAACACCGAUGGCGAAGGCAAUCCCCUGGGCCUGUACUGACGCUCAUGCACGAAAGCGUGGGGAGCAAACAGGAUUAGAUACCCCCGUAGUCCCUGUCUCUUAUAC